CUUUUAUACUUUCUUUGCAGGGAAACAGAACAUGUCUUGGACUGUUGCUUUUAUUAACAGGAGAAUAAAUGAAAGCUACUUCAUCAACCAAAAUCUACGCGGCUUUGAUAAGGAUGUACCUAUCCAUGCCGAUGCCAUGACCAGAAGUCCUACAUACACCAACUGCAACGCAUGCUGCAAUUAAAGAAAAAUUCAGAUGUUCUUGCAAGCUCAGAGCAUGAAGAAUAUAAUGAGGAAAAGAAUGUUUUCAGGUAUGGAUUUAAUGACAGAGUAUGUAAAUUACUUUAAUUAUAUUUAGUAUUGAGUUGUGGGGACAA